CAGAAAAUAGUUUAAUAAAAAAAAUAUUAAUUUUGGAGAUUAAUGAUAAAAUGAUAAUUUUUUUUCUGA
rnacentral:tRNA from 1 species